rnacentral:misc_RNA from 1 species
CUGCUGUUUCCAAAGAUCAGGUUUUGGAGUACAUGAAGUGGGCUAAACCUAUUAUAGUAAAGCUUCUCGAGGUGUUGCUGGAGAAACUAAACGUUAAGCAGAUUGAUGAGCCGAUGAAGUCUGUUGUAAUGGGCACGUUGAUCGUUAACCUCAUUCACUACCCAGUGUGCCCAAACCCCGAGCUCACUGCUGGUGCUGGCCGUCAUGCUGAUGUUUCUUCGAUCACUAUGCUACUACAAGACGAUGUUGGUGGCCUUUACGUGCGAGAGCCCAAAGGUGAUGGCUGGAUUCAUGUGCCCCCAGUUAAAGGGGCACUCGUGAUCAAUAUCGGAGAUGUCCUUCAGAUCAUGAGCAACGAUAGGUACAAGAGUGUGGAGCAUCGAGUAAUCGUGAAUGCCAGUAGAAACAGAGUGUCAGUGCCCAUAUUUGUGAAUCCAGCACCUGAUGCAGUUUUUGGUCCUUUGACACAAGUGCUAGAAAAUGGAGAGAAACCAUUGUAUAAGCAUGUUGUUUAUUCAGAUUAUUUCAAUUAUUUCUUCAGUAAAGGCCAUGAGGGUAAGCAAACAAUUGAAUUUGCAAAACUAUGACAAGUUUGCUGAUUCAACACUCAUUUCAUCUAUGUACAUGGAAUAUGGAACCUUUCGUAUCAAAGUAGUAACAAGCCGAGUAUUACAACUCUGGGGGAGAAACAAAGCUAAG